UACGACGGGAGCUAGCGUUGUUCGGAAUCACUGGGCGUAAAGCGCACGUAGGCGGAUUUGUCAGUCAGGGGUGAAAUCCCGGGGCUCAACCUCGGAACUGCCUUUGAUACAGCAAGUCUUGAGUUCGAGAGAGGUGGGUGGAAUUCCUAGUGUAGAGGUGAAAUUCGUAGAUAUUAGGAAGAACACCGGUGGCGAAGGCGGCCCACUGGCUCGAUACUGACGCUGAGGUGCGAAAGCGUGGGGAGCAAACAGG
rnacentral:rRNA from 1 species